GGUAGAAUGGCCGAGAUAAAAGGUAAUAAACUGUAAAUUUAUUUAGGGGAUUAUUCUCUUCUACCA
rnacentral:tRNA from 1 species